rnacentral:rRNA from 1 species
UACAGAGGUCUCAAGCGUUGUUCGGAUUCAUUGGGCGUAAAGGGUGCGUAGGCGGCGCGGUAAGUCGGGUGUGAAAUCUCGGAGCUUAACUCCGAAACUGCAUUCGAUACUGCCGUGCUUGAGGACUGGAGAGGAGACUGGAAUUUACGGUGUAGCGGUGAAAUGCGUAGAUAUCGAGAGGAACACCUGCGGCGAAGGCGGGUUGCUGGGCUGACACUGACGCUGAUGCGCGAAAGCCAGGGGAGCGAACAGG